GGUUUAUCAUUGGAGCUUGCUUUAAUAGUAACCACACUUACCACAGAAUCCACCAGAUUAUUUGAGCGUAAAAAACUAGAAUCCUCUUCAGCAACCAAGGGACUAGAAGGGAGCAGUUUACUCAGCUACAUCACCUCCUUCAUGAGAGAUACUGCUAAUGGAAUUCCUAGAUCCGCGAUCCUAUAGCUCUUCUAAAUACUUAAGGCUUGCUAGUAGAACACUGACACAAAAUCUAAUCAGAGCACCGCAACCACCACACAUGCCUAUGCUGUGCAUUAGUGUUAAGAAGACCAGUCCCUUUUCAUGAACGUGCAUAAAAUAGAUCUACGGAACAAGGUGCCAUCUAAGAAUUCUUUAAACGUUGAGAUUGUUUCACUUGUAUAACAGAAACAGUCCUUCCCCAAUAUCAUUCGUUGAACCCUGUAAUUAUCUAAGCUAACAAGAGCCUGCACUCCAAAAUCAGCCAUUGUAACUGGAGUCUGGUCAUUCUUUUCAAGUAUCCGUCCUUCGCUAGAGAAGAGAGACCUUUUCACGUCAACACAAAGUCUACAAGCCUUUUCUACGACAUCCACUGCAGCUUCAAGCUCUCUGUGGUACUUGGCCUUGUGAUUUGGAAAUGGAAGGCUCGACAGGGAAGAAUCGUCUACGACGAGGCGAAAGGGAAGAAGGAUGACGGAGAAAGUAUCGGACGGAAUGGUAGAGAAUCGUCUACUGAUGAGUGACUGAGUGUUGCUCAGCCGAGGAAGAUACGGCUG
rnacentral:misc_RNA from 1 species